GGACGGGUGAGUAACGCGUGAGGAACCUGCCUUGAAGAGGGGGACAACAGUUGGAAACGACUGCUAAUACCGCAUGAAGCAUAGGGGUCGCAUGAUCUUUAUGCCAAAGAUUUAUCGCUUCAAGAUGGCCUCGCGUCUGAUUAGCUAGUUGGCGGGGUAACGGCCCACCAAGGCGACGAUCAGUAGCCGGACUGAGAGGUUGAACGGCCACAUUGGGACUGAGAUACGGCCCAGACUCCUACGGGAGGCAGCAGUGGGGAAUAUUGGGCAAUGGGCGCAAGCCUGACCCAGCAACGCCGCGUGAAGGAAGAAGGCUUUCGGGUUGUAAACUUCUUUUAAGAGGGAAGAGCAGAAGACGGUACCUUUAGAAUAAGCCACGGCUAACUACGUGCCAGCAGCCGCGGUAAUACGUAGGUGGCAAGCGUUGUCCGGAUUUACUGGGUGUAAAGGGCGUGCAGCCGGGUCUGCAAGUCAGAUGUGAAAUCCAUGGGCUCAACCCAUGAACUGCAUUUGAAACUGUAGAUCUUGAGUGUCGGAGGGGCAAUCGGAAUUCCUAGUGUA
rnacentral:rRNA from 1 species